AAGGGGAUAGCGCAGUGGCAGAGUGCACGCUUAGCAUGCACGAGGUCCUGGGUUCAAUCCCCAGUUCCUCUA
rnacentral:tRNA from 1 species